rnacentral:ncRNA from 1 species
GAAUUGUGAAACUUGAAUAAACACACUCACAAUUUCAAUUUUUAUCAAGGAUUGUGUUUAUUGUGAAUUCUUUAUUUAUUCAUUCUAUAGGGACACAUAAUUAUAUCAAGGUAAAAAAUCUUUUUCAUUGAAAUUGUCUUCUUGAUUAUAUAUAUAGGUAAAAGAAGCUACGCGGAGGUUCCCCUUUGCGGCCAACUUCUUAGAGGGACUAUGGCCAUUUAGGCCAUGGAAGUUUGAGGCAAUAUCAAGUCUAUGAUGCUCUUAGAUGUUAUGGGCCGCACACACACUACACUGAUGCAGUCAAUGAGUUUUUCUCCCUGGUUCGAGAGGAUCGGGAAAUCUUCUCAAAUUGCAUCGUGAUGGGUAUAGACCAUUGCA